rnacentral:rRNA from 1 species
UACGGAGGGUGCAAGCGUUAUCCGGAUUCACUGGGUUUAAAGGGUGCGUAGGUGGGCAGGUAAGUCAGUGGUGAAAUCUCUGGGCUUAACUCAGAAACUGCCAUUGAUACUAUCUGUCUUGAAUACCGUGGAGGUCAGCGGAAUAUGUCAUGUAGCGGUGAAAUGCUUAGAUAUGACAUAGAACACCAAUUGCGAAGGCAGCUGGCUACACUAAUAUUGACACUGAUGCACGAAAGCGUGGGGAUCAAACAGG